AGGCCUGAGGUACUGGAAGGUCCUCAGGCCGAAAGGGGCUCUGCCCGCCCGAGGAUGGGCCGGCGGCCGAUUAGGUAGUUGGUGGGGUAACGGCCCACCAAGCCGAAGAUCGGUACGGGCCAUGAGAGUGGGAGCCCGGAGAUGGACACUGAGACACGGGUCCAGGCCCUACGGGGCGCAGCAGGCGCGAAACCUCCGCAAUGCGGGCAACCGCGACGGGGGGACCCCCAGUGCCGUGGCAACGCCACGGCUUUUCCGGAGUGUAAAAAGCUCCGGGAAUAAGGGCUGGGCAAGGCCGGUGGCAGCCGCCGCGGUAAUACCGGCGGCCCGAGUGGUGGCCGCUAUUAUUGGGCCUAAAGCGUCCGUAGCCGGGCCCGUAAGUCCCUGGCGAAAUCCCACGGCUCAACCGUGGGGCUUGCUGGGGAUACUGCGGGCCUUGGGACCGGGAGAGGCCGGGGGUACCCCUGGGGUAGGGGUGAAAUCCUAUAAUCCCAGGGGGACCGCCAGUGGCGAAGGCGCCCGGCUGGAACGGGUCCGACGGUGAGGGACGAAGGCCAGGGGAGCGAACCGGAUUAGAUACCCGGGUAGUCCUGGCUGUAAAGGAUGCGGGCUAGGUGUCGGGCGAGCUUCGAGCUCGCCCGGUGCCGAAGGG
rnacentral:rRNA from 1 species